rnacentral:rRNA from 1 species
AACGAACGCUGGCGGCAGGCCUAACACAUGCAAGUCGAACGAACCCUUCGGGGUUAGUGGCGGACGGGUGAGUAACACGUGGGAACGUGCCUUUAGGUUCGGAAUAACUCAGGGAAACUUGUGCUAAUACCGAAUGUGCCCUUCGGGGGAAAGAUUUAUCGCCUUUAGAGCGGCCCGCGUCUGAUUAGCUAGUUGGUGAGGUAAUGGCUCACCAAGGCUACGAUCAGUAGCUGGUCCGAGAGGAUGACCAGCCACAUUGGGACUGAGACACGGCCCAAACUCCUACGGGAGGCAGCAGUGGGGAAUCUUGCGCAAUGGGCGAAAGCCUGACGCAGCCAUGCCGCGUGGAUGAUGAAGGUCUUAGGAUUGUAAAAUCCUUUCACCGGUGAAGAUAAUGACUGUAGCCGGAGAAGAAGCCCCGGCUAACUUCGUGCCAGCCGCCGCGGUAACAC